rnacentral:rRNA from 1 species
UACGGAGGGUGCAAGCGUUAAUCGGAAUUACUGGGCGUAAAGCGCGCGUAGGUGGUUUGAUAAGCGAGAUGUGAAAGCCCCGGGCUCAACCUGGGAACUGCAUUCGAUACUGUCAGACUAGAGUAUGGUAGAGGUAAGUGGAAUUUCUGGUGUAGCGGUGAAAUGCGUAGAUAUCAGAAGGAACAUCAGUGGCGAAGGCGGCUUACUGGACCAAUACUGACGCUGAGGUGCGAAAGCGUGGGGAGCAAACAGGAUUAGAUACCCCGGUAGUCC